AACCAGAGACACAGGAAGAAAGAAAAACAGAGAAAAGAAAAAGGAAGAAAGAAAGCAAG
rnacentral:ribozyme from 1 species